GGAUUGUCCUUUGGACAAUGGUAGGAGAGCGUUCUAAGGGCGUCGAAGCAUGAUCGCAAGGACAUGUGGAGCGCUUAGAAGUGAGAAUGCCGGUGUGAGUAGCGAAAGACGGGUGAGAAUCCCGUCCACCGAUUGACUAAGGUUUCCAGAGGAAGGCUCGUCCGCUCUGGGUUAGUCGGGUCCUAAGCUGAGGCCGACAGGCGUAGGCGAUGGAUAACAGGUUGAUAUUCCUGUACCACCUAGUAUCGUUUUAAUCGAUGGGGGGACGCAGUAGGAUAGGCGAAGCGUGCUGUUGGAGUGCACGUCCAAGCAGUAAGGCUGAGUGUUAGGCAAAUCCGGCACUCAUAAGGCUGAGCUGUGAUGGGGAGAGGAAAUUGUUUCCUCGAGUCGUUGAUUUCACACUGCCGAGAAAAGCCUCUAGAUAGAUAACAGGUGCCCGUACCGCAAACCGACACAGGUAGUCAAGAUGAGAAUUCUAAGGUGAGCGAGCGAACUCUCGUUAAGGAACUCGGCAAAAUGACCCCGUAACUUCGGGAGAAGGGGUGCUCUUUAGGGUUCACGCCCAGAAGAGCCGCAGUGAAUAGGCCCAAGCGACUGUUUAUCAAAAACACAGGUCUCUGCUAAACCGUAAGGUGAUGUAUAGGGGCUGACGCCUGCCCGGUGCUGGAAGGUUAAGAGGAGUGGUUAGCUUCUGCGAAGCUACGAAUCGAAGCCCCAGUAAACGGCGGCCGUAACUAUAACGGUCCUAAGGUAGCGAAAUUCCUUGUCGGGUAAGUUCCGACCCGCACGAAAGGCGUAACGAUUUGGGCACUGUCUCAACGAGAGACUCGGUGAAAUCAUAGUACCUGUGAAGAUGCAGGUUACCCGCGACAGGACGGAAAGACCCCGUGGAGCUUUACUGUAGCCUGAUAUUGAAAUUCGGCACAGCUUGUACAGGAUAGGUAGGAGCCUUUGAAACGUGAGCGCUAGCUUACGUGGAGGCGUUGGUGGGAUACUACCCUAGCUGUGUUGGCUUUCUAACCCGCACCACUUAUCGUGGUGGGAGACAGUGUCAGGCGGGCAGUUUGACUGGGGCGGUCGCCUCCUAAAAGGUAACGGAGGCGCUCAAAGGUUCCCUCAGAAUGGUUGGAAAUCAUUCAUAGAGUGUAAAGGCAUAAGGGAGCUUGACUGCGAGACCUACAAGUCGAGCAGGGUCGAAAGACGGACUUAGUGAUCCGGUGGUUCCGCAUGGAAGGGCCAUCGCUCAACGGAUAAAAGCUACCCCGGGGAUAACAGGCUUAUCUCCCCCAAGAGUUCACAUCGACGGGGAGGUUUGGCACCUCGAUGUCGGCUCAUCGCAUCCUGGGGCUGUAGUCGGUCCCAAGGGUUGGGCUGUUCGCCCAUUAAAGCGGUACGCGAGCUGGGUUCAGAACGUCGUGAGACAGUUCGGUCCCUAUCCGUCGUGGGCGUAGGAAAUUUGAGAGGAGCUGUCCUUAGUACGAGAGGACCGGGAUGGACAUACCUCUGGUGUACCAGUUGUCGUGCCAACGGCAUAGCUGGGUAGCUAUGUAUGGACGGGAUAAGUGCUGAAAGCAUCUAAGCAUGAAGCCCCCCUCAAGAUGAGAUUUCCCAACUUCGGUUAUAAGAUCCCUCGAAGAUGACGAGGUUAAUAGGUUCGAGGUGGAAGCGUGGUGACACGUGGAGCUGACGAAUACUAAUCGAUCGAAGACUUAAUCAAUUUUUAAA
rnacentral:rRNA from 1 species